GAUGAACGCUGGCGGCGCGCCUAACACAUGCAAGUCGAACGGCACCCCUCUCCGGAGGGAAGCGAGUGGCGAACGGCUGAGUAACACGUGGAGAACCUGCCCCCUCCCCCGGGAUAGCCGCCCGAAAGGACGGGUAAUACCGGAUACCCCCGGGCGCCGCAUGGCGCCCGGGCUAAAGCCCCGACGGGAGGGGAUGGCUCCGCGGCCCAUCAGGUAGACGGCGGGGUGACGGCCCACCGUGCUGACAACGGGUAGCCGGGUUGAGAGACCGACCGGCCAGAUUGGGACUGAGACACGGCCCAGACUCCUACGGGAGGCAGCAGUGGGGAAUCUUGCGCAAUGGGGGGAACCCUGACGCAGCGACGCCGCGUGCGGGACGGAGGCCUUCGGGUCGUAAACCGCUUUCAGCAGGGAAGAGUCAAGACUGUAC
rnacentral:rRNA from 1 species